rnacentral:rRNA from 1 species
UACGUAGGGUGCAAGCGUUGUCCGGAAUUAUUGGGUGUAAAGAGCUCGUAGGCGGUUUGUUGCGUCGGCUGUGAAAUCCCGAGGCUCAACCUCGGGUCUGCAGUCGAUACGAGCAAACUAGAGUGUUGCAGGGGAGACUGGAAUUCCUGGUGUAGCGGUGAAAUGCGCAGAUAUCAGGAGGAACACCGGUGGCGAAGGCGGGUCUCUGGGCAACAACUGACGCUGAGGAGCGAAAGCGUGGGGAGCGAACAGG